AGGAAACUAAAUCGUCUUGGUUGAGAUUAGUCUUUUGCGGAAGACCCUGGUGCAUACUUUUACAAUUAAUUCAAUAGUCUUUUUUUAACUUCUUCUUGCUGGAAAGAAUAGUUUAAUGAAGCUUUUGACAUUACGUUCUUUGAAUUGAGCUUAUCAACUUACCCGGUGAUUGUGAAAGCCACAAGCUAUAUAUUCUAGGUGCAAGACUACUAAAGAGCAACGAAUAUGCAAUCAGAUUUUCCCAAUUUAUAAAGAAUAAAACAGUUUGGA
rnacentral:lncRNA from 1 species